CCUACGGGUGGCUGCAGUGGGGAAUAUUGCACAAUGGGCGCAAGCCUGAUGCAGCCAUGCCGCGUGUGUGAAGAAGGCCUUCGGGUUGUAAAGCACUUUCAGCGGGGAGGAAGGCGUUAAGGUUAAUAACCUUGGCGAUUGACGUUACCCGCAGAAGAAGCACCGGCUAACUCCGUGCCAGCAGCCGCGGUAAUACGGAGGGUGCAAGCGUUAAUCGGAAUUACUGGGCGUAAAGCGCACGCAGGCGGUCUGUCAAGUCGGAUGUGAAAUCCCUGGGCUCAACCUGGGAACUGCAUUCGAAACUGGCAGGCUAGAGUCUUGUAGAGGGGGGUAGAAUUCCAGGUGUAGCGGUGAAAUGCGUAGAGAUCUGGAGGAAUACCGGUGGCGAAGGCGGCCCCCUGGACAAAGACUGACGCUCAGGUGCGAAAGCGUGGGGAGCAAACAGGAUUAGAUACCCCAGUAGUC
rnacentral:rRNA from 1 species